GCUGGCACGCAGCUCGUCCAUUGGCCGUGGAAGUGGAGACUCUCGGGAGGCCGUGAGGUGGGCGACACGGAGGGCCAUCAGGGGGCGGUGGGCGUGUGGCCUUUCAGGCCGGGCAUGGAGAUGGUGACGGGACAGCCAAGGUCCUGACAAGGUGUGAGCAAGAAGGAAGCUGACGGAGAGGAGAGGAAGCCGGCACACGGAGCGGCAGGGGCAGGAAUGUAGCCACCGAGCUUCCUCUUAUGACCCAGACUAAGAGACAGAGGCCAGAUACUUCCUCGCAUCGGCAACAAUGCAAAACAUUGAGGAAUGUGAGCUCCCCCCAGAGCCCCCGGAUUGAAGGACCACCGUCCCGGGCCCCCAGGAUGCCUGACAACACGCCCUCCACUCGCUUAGGGAGCCCUUCAAAAUUCACUUCUCCAAGUGCACGAUCCUAUUUGUGGAGCAGAGCUCGCAAAACCCGAAAUCUGUUUGAAGCCGGCGGCUUUUGGGAAUCCCUGUCCCGGCUCAGAGGCGUUAACGUUCACCGGGGUCGGGCCCCCGUCGUCUGGGGCGGGCAGAGCUCUGCUGAACUCCGGGACCCUGGCAGGCCCCUCCGUCUCUUAGGGUUUAAUUUCCUUUGAAAAGUCAGGGUGGGUUGGAGUCCUCACCAAUAAUAAAAGGAGCAAAACCACGAACAGCCUGCUGCCACAGCAGCCCAGCCUCCCCCCUGCUGCCCGCCACGCUAUCUUUGUGCUCGUGCAGAACGGCCCGAUCCUGUCCAGUUCGCAUCCCGGCGGCUUCACCUCCCGGAGGGUUCCUGGCCGCGAAGGAAGGACUUCCCUUGUCCCCUGGUUUCCUUACCAGGCUUCCUCAGACCCCACUCAGGGGAAUGCCGGCUUGGCAGGAAGACACAAGCGGCCAAGGUCUUUCUGGCCGAGGGCCCCGCGUCGGUCCUUGCGGUUCCUGCUCAGUGACUGGACGGGACAUGGCCUCACAGGUCCACAGAGGCUGCGCGGUGUCUCCUUUCGCCCAGUCAUCCCUCCCUCAGGCCCGCUUCCUCAAAGCACGUGGGGAAUGGCGGGGGAAGGGUGCAUCCUGCCAGGGAUCACGCGUUCAGCUCAUCCUGUCACCGUAAGGAACAGGAGGGUAAGGUGUAGGGGGUCCUCGGGAGUCGCACGGGUCUGCCUUCAAGCCUCGUGUCGGCCCCUAACUAGCUGUAAACUUGGAACACACUUAGCGAUCGGGGAACUGACUGCAUAUAUGACCUUCUAAUUAAAUGUAAGACACCCAGGUCACUCUGAAUGGCCAAGAAACAAUGAAUGACUUUUUUGGUACAGCAUGGGACACCCUUUUAUAAAAACGGUUUGUUGUUUACCUAGAAUUCAAAGUUACCCGGGUCUCCUGCAUUUUCCUGGCUGUCUCCGCGAGCCCGGCUGUAUACCGUGUGGCUGGCACACGGCCAGGGUUGCCUCCCCUACGCGGACUCAUUCGACAAAUACCGCGAGUCCACGGUGGGCCAGGCCCUGGGGAUGCAGCGGGGAGCAAGACGGUGCCCGUUUCCUGUGGCUCCUGAAACAAACACCACGGAUUUAGUGGUUUAAAUGAUACAUGUGCUCUCCUACGGUCUGGAGGUCGCAGAUAUGGCUCGUCUCACUGGGCUAAAAUCAAGGCACUUACAGGGCUGGCUCCUUCGGGAAGGUCGAGGCGAGACUCUGGUUCCCGGCCUUUUCCAGCCCCCGGAGGCGCCGCAUCCUGGCCUGUCCACCACCUUCACGGCCCGCCGGAGUGGGUCCAGUCCUCUCCCACUUCCAACUUCCACAACCCUGCUCUCUUGUCCGUCCCCUUCUUCCGCUUCCAAGGACCCCCGUGGUUACCUCGGGGACACCAAGUGUUCCGGCACAAGCUCCCGGGUUCAAGGUCAGCUGAUUAGCAGCCCCAGCUGCCCUGUGCCUCAGGGGACGGCCUCUUCGCAGGCUCCGGGGACCAGGACGUGACGUCUCCCAGGGUCUUCACUCUGCUAACAGUCUCUGAUCGCACAGAGCUCACGUCCGGGGCGGGAGAGGCAGGCCAUCAACAAGCCACAACGCAGGGCCCCCUCCUCCUCGGCUUGUGCGUGCCCAGCCCUCCCCCAACCCAGGGGCCCCUGGCACGAUCUCAGCUUGCGGGUCACAGAGUCAAAAUCCGAACUCGAGACACAGACUAAAUAAAAACAGGCAAUGCUGGAAGGGAAAAGCAGGGUGACCGGCUGGCCUUCCCGAAGCUGGAUGCCAGCCUCACCGGGAAGCCCGCCUCGGGGCAAACCGAGGAUGAGUGUGGGGGCCACCAAAACGCACGUGCUGGUGCGUGCGGGCCGUGUGCCUCCUGACCGCCAACGACCAGAAACCGCUCAAAGGCCCUUCAUAGCUAAACGAGUGAAUGCUAUGCAAUAUAUCGACGCAAGAACGAACAUCUCCUGCUGCACACGGGAACGCGGCUGGUUAACGUGCCACGGACGGGACGUACCGCCAAGCCGACAGGCGACCCGGAUCCGCGCUCCAACCGUGUG